AAGUUUGUGUUCUACUGCUCUCUCUCUACUCUUUCUCCUCUUUCCUCUUCACUUUCUCUUCUUUUUGAACCUGAAAUUUCUUAGUGUUCAAGACUGAUAGCAGUCUUGAACAACUACAAUCACUAAAAGUAUUUUAAAUAAGCAACCUCAUCCUUGUCAUAGAAGGGUUUUAUUGGUUUUCAUUCUCUUCUCUUUUCUUUUUCUUUCUGUUUUAAUCUAUGUUUUCAUGGUUUUAUUUUGUUUUCUUUUGUGUAAUUUGUGUAGGUACAUAGGUCCCACUCUGAGUUUUUUCACAAGUUGGUCUGAGUUGGCUUAGGUAGCCUGACUGCUAUUAAUAUGAUUGUCCUUGCAUGGGACCUGCAUUAAGCAACCUAUCUGGGAUGCGAAACUUGUGAUCUGGGGGUUGCGGAUGACCUAUCACCUAUCCAGGUUUUGCAUCCCUCCCUCUUUCCCUUGGACUUCCGGACAUCUUCCACAAAUUUCAUGUUUAUUUAUUUUAUUUAUUUUUUAAUUCUUUUGGUGAAUAGUCCAGUGUGUGUAGUCUCUAGCAAUGGCAGGAGUUAGCUCCUAGCAUCUAUUGAAACUUGGGUACAACCAUACCAGACUCAGAACUAUGAAGCAUGCUUGGUACUGUGAUGGGUAACCUCUUCGGAAGUCUUCACUAUUCAUGUUGUAUCCCUUUUUUGAGAGAAGCCAUUGCUUGGUGUAAGGGUAAAAUACUGGGCUGAUAAGUCUGAGAUGUAAGCUUGAUUUUGAGUCUGGCCACUUUGUGCAAAACAUUGCCAAGUAUUAGGUCCAUAUCCAGUUUGCCUCUCCCCCAAAACCACAGAUAGCCGGCAACACAUUAUGUUUUCUCUGGCUUUUCCAGGUUCCAUACCUUGAGCCCCAUUUGGGAGGGCUUCUGCAGUGAUUGAGCUGAGUUGACUGAGCUGCCUAUGAUAGCUUCACUGGAACGUCGAUGUUUUGGCUCAUGUUUAAACAUGUCAACUGUGAGCCUACCCUCAACUUGUAUGUUCAAAAGUGUAGCGCAGAGAAGAUAUGGUGGUGCCUUAAUCAAGAGUCCAACUUCUUCGGCUUCUGUGAAGAGCGUUUCUAAGCUAUUUGGCUUGAAGGCUUCCUCUUGCUUCAGAGUAUCUGCCAUGGCAGUGUACACGGUGAAGCUGAUUGGACCAAAUGGGGAAGAGCAGGAGAUAGAUGCUCCUGACGAUGCUUAUAUCCUAGAUUCAGCUGAGAGUGCAGGAGUGGAGCUGCCCUACUCAUGCAGGGCAGGCGCAUGCUCAACCUGUGCUGGGCAGAUGGUGUCAGGUUCAGUUGACCAGUCGGAUGGAUCCUUCCUUGACGGGAACCAGAUGGAGAAGGGGUACUUGCUGACAUGCAUCUCAUAUCCAACAUCAGACUGUGUGAUUCACACACAUAAGGAAAGUGAUCUCUAUUGAGCAAUGCUCAGGUCAUGUCUUUGAUUGAGAUGAAACUAAGAACUAAUUUUGGUCCACGUCACUUCUUAGAGGGAAAACAGAGCGUCAGAUCAGACAUUCCAUAUUGGCCUUAGUGUUCAUUGUCUAGUUUCUUAAAUUUUGCUUGCCUUUUGCUUGGAUAUCAUGUUUCUGAUUUUUGAUUUCAAAUUCCCAGCAAAAAUGAUAUUAGUUGCUGCCUAAGCUUGGCCUAUGCAAGUGGAAUCCUGUUGUCAACUAUACGAGCCCGCCUAAACCAACAGGCACGGGACUACUGUAAAAUGACUUGAACCAAGACACCAGCCUAAUGAUUUGAACUAAGCUUCAGGCUCCAAACCUAAUAUUUCAAGUUGGUUUAAACUGAAAGGGUCGAUGACUAGAUGUGGCUAAUCCAUUAGCACGCUCCAAUCUCUCAAUUCCCGUGCAUAGCUGAUGACUGAUGUGGGGUGUUAUUGGUUAAACACAACCAUCAAGUUCAGAUCGUUUCCGGAUUCCAGUUAUGUGCCACUUGUGCAUGCAGGUGGCUCGUUCCAAGAAGGAUCAAGGAGGAUGGUUGUCUCCUUCCGAGCACUUGGCGAAAUGUUUAUUUUUUUCGACUAAAAAGAAAGACUUGGAUUCGUAAGUGAACGCAUUAAUCAAAGCAGAAGACGCGUUUCUCACCAGCCACCAAAGCGGAAAAUGGAAAGAAAUGUUUUAAAUCCUUCCGAGAAUAUUAACUUUGUAAGUGAUAACGAUUAAUAUAAAUACUCCAGACAUCAACAUCUUUGUUGCAACUUUCUGUAAUUACGCCAAGACUUCAACGCAUCUCUCUCUUUCAAUCACCACGAUUCAUGGCUGGGAAUUGGAUCUAUUAUUGGGGCAACGGCUCCAACCCGUCCGGAAGAAUACAACAGGUGCGUGUUAACUUCUGUAGAAGAUUUACCACAUUGUUACUAUCUCCGGAUUUAGAUCUGUACUGGCAACAUGUUGUACGAAACUCCGAUCUAAAUGAAAACACAGAGAAAAAAUACAGAGAAGAAGUUGCAGCUCUGGAGGGCCAAGCCAGAAAAAUAUAUCAUACUGACGACAAUUUCAAUGUAGUCCCUACGGGAGACCAGUUCGUGGAUAUAAUGGUGAAGCAAGGCUGCUUCAUACUGCAAGUGGCCUUGUGCUCCUUGGGUGGUUUAGCACCGCUGGGUUACCCAGAGGACGGAAAUCUGGGCAAAGAUUGGGACAAGGAAAUGAUCGAUAACUGGGUUUCGUCCAUGUUUUCCAUCAGUAAGCAAUUUCCCCUCUUCAUCCUCCAGAAACUGAUGGAGCAAAGCUUCUUCCAAACUGUGCUGAGUAGGGGAAAAUGGAAGGGACCCCAUGACUUGGCGAGGAUGGUGCUGUAUGACAGUCUGGUGAAGCCCACGCUUGAUUCACAUGGAAGAAGAGCAGCUACAUCAUUUCUUGGCUUAAUCCACUGCAAGAAGAGCGGUUUGGCAAAAGAACAGCCAACCCUUCUCCAUGCUCUUUGGCUUACUCUGACUGGGCCUGACUUAAGUGGUGGUGUCGUCAAAGAAGGCGACAACGUAUGGUCCACCGUCCGUAGCGCGACGGAGCUGCGGGAAGCUGGAAUUGGCUUCAGAAACAACAAGGAGAUGGGGAUUAGAGGGAUAAAAUUCAAAACAAAAUGGUUGAAAUUUGACGCUUAUCUCUGCCUCCCGUUCAUCUCCAUUGGACCCAAUACAGAGACGCUGCUUAAGAGCUUGAUUGAUUUUGAAGGGGAGCUGUAUCAGGACGGAAGCGGUGGUGAGGUUUGUGCAUAUCUGAAGUUCAUGAGUGAGCUGGUUCGUAGUCAUGAAGAUGCCAAGGUCCUUGCAGUACAUGGGAUCAUUGAUGCCGAUACUGAAAGCGAGGAAAAAAUGCACCAUACCUUGGCGAGUUUACACCUGCCGGAGGUAGUAAACAACCAGAAUCUCUGUGUCGUAAGGGAUGAGAUUCGUGGUUAUGUGAAGCCCAGCAAGUGGGACAAGAUUGUGAAUCUCAUUGUCAUCACUCUGCUUCUCACAUUGGUGCAGACCAUCUAUACUGUUGUUGGCUAUCAUCACCCAAAAAACUAAUCAAAAUUGGUUUGGAGCAGAAGCUAUAGAAAUGUAGCUUUUACUUGCUUCAAUUAUUUUUUA